AGCGAACGCUGGCGGCAGGCCUAACACAUGCAAGUCGAACGAACUCUUCGGAGUUAGUGGCGGACGGGUGAGUAACACGUGGGAACGUGCCUUUUGGUUCGGAAUAACUCAGGGAAACUUGUGCUAAUACCGAAUGUGCCCUUCGGGGGAAAGAUUUAUCGCCAUUAGAGCGGCCCGCGUCUGAUUAGCUAGUUGGUGAGGUAACGGCUCACCAAGGCGACGAUCAGUAGCUGGUCUGAGAGGAUGACCAGCCACACUGGGACUGAGACACGGCCCAGACUCCUACGGGAGGCAGCAGUGGGGAAUCUUGCGCAAUGGGCGAAAGCCUGACGCAGCCAUGCCGCGUGAAUGAUGAAGGGCUUAGGAUUGUAAAAUUCUUUCACCGGGGACGAUAAUGACGGUACCCGGAGAAGAAGCCCCGGCUAACUUCGU
rnacentral:rRNA from 1 species